rnacentral:rRNA from 1 species
GACGAACGCUGGCGGCGUGCUUAACACAUGCGAGUCGAACGGAAAGGCCCUGCUUUUGUGGGGUGCUCGAGUGGCGAACGGGUGAGUAACACGUGAGUAACCUGCCCUUGACUUUGGGAUAACUUCAGGAAACUGGGGCUAAUACCGGAUAGGAGCUCCUGCUGCAUGGUGGGGGUCGGAAAGUUUCGGCGGUUGGGGAUGGACUCGCGGCUUAUCAGCUUGUUGGUGGGGUAGUGGCUUACCAAGGCUUUGACGGGUAGCCGGCCUGAGAGGGUGACCGGCCACAUUGGGACUGAGAUACGGCCCAGACUCCUACGGGAGGCAGCAGUGGGGAAUAUUGCACAAUGGGCGGAAGCCUGAUGCAGCAACGCCGCGUGCGGGAUGACGGCCUUCGGGUUGUAAACCGCUUUCGCCUGUGACGAAGCGUGAGUGACGGUAAUGGGUAAAGAAGCACCGGCUAACUACGUG